rnacentral:rRNA from 1 species
UACGUAGGCAGCAAGCGUUGUUCGGAGUUACUGGGCGUAAAGAGUGUGUAGGCGGUUCUCUAAGUUCCGUGUGAAAUCUCCCGGCUCAACUGGGAGGGUGCGCGGAAAACUGGAGGGCUUGAGUAUGGGAGAGGAAAGCGGAAUUCCUGGUGUGGCGGUGAAAUGCGUAGAUAUCAGGAGGAACACCUGCGGUGUAGACGGCUUUCUGGACCAUUACUGACGCUGAGACACGAAAGCGUGGGUAGCAAACAGG